UACGUAGGGUCCAAGCGUUAAUCGGAAUUACUGGGCGUAAAGCGUGCGCAGGCGGCUUGCAAGUCAGACGUGAAAUCCCCGGGCUUAACCUGGGAAUGGCGUUUGAAACUACGGAGCUGGAGUGUGGCAGAGGGGAGGUAGAAUUCCACGUGUAGCGGUGAAAUGCGUAGAUAUGUGGAGGAAUACCGAUGGCGAAGGCAGCCUCCUGGGCCAACACUGACGUCAUGCACGAAAGCGUGGGGGAGCGAAACCAGGAU
rnacentral:rRNA from 1 species